ACACGACUACAUUAGAUACCCCUGUAGUCCCAGCCCUAAACGAUGCGCGUUAGGUGUAUCGGUGACCACGAGUCACCGAGGUGCCGAAGGGAAACCGUGAAACGUGCCGCCUGGGAAGUACGGUCGCAAGGCUGAAACUUAAAGGAAUUGGCGGGGGAGCACUACAACGGGUGGAGCCUGCGGUUUAAUUGGACUCAACGCCGGGAAGCUCACCGGAUAAGACAGCGGAAUGAUUGCCGGGCUGAAGACCCUGCAUGACCAGCUG
rnacentral:rRNA from 1 species